rnacentral:rRNA from 1 species
AACCCACUUGGUGCUAACACCAAGUACUAUGCGAUGAAUACAUAGUCGUAUAGAGCGAACCCGGGGAAGUGAACCAUCUCAGUACCCGGAGGAAAAUAAAUCAACAGAGAUUCCGAUAGUAGUGGCGAGCGAAUUCGGAACAGCCCAAACCGAGCGAUUCGAAAGGAGAGCUCGGGGUUGUAGGACCACAAUUACUCUCUCGCGAGCUCAGACUGGGCAACCAGUCUGGGAAAGUGAGAGAGUAGCAAAUAGGGAUAGGAAAGCGUUAGUCGAAUGGUCUGGAAAGGCCAGUCAUAGAGGGUGAUAACCCCGUAGGCGAAAAUGCAAUCCUCCUUAAAGUGGCUCCUGAGUACAGCGGGACACGAGAAACCCUGCUGGAAUCCACCGGGACCAUCCGGUAAGGCUAAAUACUCGAUUGUGACCGAUAGUGAACUAGUACCGUGAGGGAAAGGUGAAAAGAACCCCUACUAGGGGAGUGAAAUAGUAACUGAAACCGCAUGCUUACAAGCAGUGGGAGGGCUAUGUUUAACAUGCCUGACCUCGUGCCUAUUGAAUAAUGAGCUGGCUAGUUUUUUUCAGUGGCAAGGUUAAGCGAAAGCGAGCCGAAGCGAAAGCGAGUCCUAACUGGGCGUUUAGUCGCUGGGAAAAGACGCGAAGCGGGAUGAUCUACCCUUGGCCAAGGUGAAGUCAGUGUAACAGCUGAUGGAGGCCUGAACCGGUGUUGGUUGAAAACAGCUCGGAUGAGCUGAGGGUAGGGGUGAAAGGCUAAUCAAAUUCCGUGAUAGCUCGUUCUCUCCGAAAUAGCUUUAGGGCUAGCGUUGCAUGGACCGUCGUGGUGGUAGAGAUCUGAAUGGACUAGGGGCCUUCCCAGGUUACCGAAUCCAACCAAACUUCGAAUGCCAUGAACGAAAGCACGGCAGUCAGACAGUCGGGGCUAAGCUUGAUUGUCAAAAGGGGAAGAGCCCAGACCGCCAACUAAGGUCCCCAAAUCAUGGCUAAGUGGGAAAGGAAGUCGGGAGGCUAUGACAGCCAGGAGGUUGGCUUAGAAGCAGCCAUCCUUUAAAGAAAGCGUAAUAGCUCACUGGUCGAGCCGCCCGGUACCGACAAUCCAACGGGGCUCAAGCAUAUUACCGAAGUUGCGGGUCAGUCGAAAGACUGGCGGUAGGAGAGCGUUCCUUUCAGCUGCGAAGGUAGACCGUGAGGACUACUGGAGCGAAAGGAAGUGACUCUGCCAGCAUAAGUAGCGAUAAACAAGGUGAGAACCCUUGUCGCCGUAAGACUAAGGUUUCCUGAGAAAGGUUAAUCCGCUCAGGGUUAGUCGGAGCCUAAGGUCAGGCCGAAAGGCGUAGCCGAUGGACACACGGUUAACAUUCCGUGACCACCCCAGGCGAUCAAGACCGAAGGGGGGACGCAGCCUCGAGCUUGCUGUUGGCAAUGGUUUCCAACAGUGCAUCGAUGCGGGGACGCAGCGUCAAGCUCGGCACAGGCAAUGGUUUCCUGUGUUGGGGGAGAUGAGGACCGGAAAGGCAAAUCCGCCGGUUCGUCUGCCAGGAAAAGCCGCUAAGAGCCAAGGGAGUCCGUACCACAAACCGACACAGGUGGUCGAGAUGAGUAUUCUAAGGCGCUCGGGUGAUAGGUUGUUAAGGAACUAGGCACAUUGACCCCGUAACUUCGGGAGAAGGGGUGCCCACCUAAGACGUGGGCCGCAGAGAAUAGCGCAGGGCGACUGUUUAACAAAAACACAGGUCUCUGCUAAGUCAUAAAAACGACGUAUAGGGGCUGACGCCUGCCCGGUGCCGGAAGGUUAAAAGGAGGGGUUAGACGCAAGUCGAAGCUCUGAAUUGAAGCCCCGGUGAACGGCGGCCGUAACUAUAACGGUCCUAAGGUAGCGAAAUUCCUUGUCGGGUAAGUUCCGACCUGCACGAAUGGCGUAACGAUCUGACGACUGUCUUAACGAGUGACUCAGCGAAUUUGUAAUACCGGUGAAGAUGCCGGUUACCCGCCACUAGACGGAAAGACCCCGUGCACCUUUACUACACUUUAGCAAUGUACUUCGGUGCGUUAUGCGCAGGAUAGGUGGGAGGCUUUGAACUGUGGGUUUCGGCCUGCAGGGAGCCAAUAGUGAGAUACCACUCUUAUCGUUCUGAGGUACUAACCUACGCUCGUAGACCGGGCGAGGGACAUUGCUUGACGGGUAGUUUGACUGGGGCGGUCGCCUCCCAAAUUGUAACGGAGGCGCUCGAAGGGAAGGGCCAUCGCUCAACGGAUAAAAGGUACGCCGGGGAUAACAGGCUGAUCUUGCCCAAGAGUUCAUAUCGACGGCAAGGUUUGGCACCUCGAUGUCGGCUCAUCGCAUCCUGGAGCUGAAGAAGGUUCCAAGGGUUGGGCUGUUCGCCCAUUAAAGCGGUACGUGAGCUGGGUUUAGAACGUCGCGAGACAGUUCGGUCCCUAUCUGUGGUGGGCGCAGGAUAUUUGAGAGGAUCUAUCCUUAGUACGAGAGGACCGGGAUGGACGAACCUCUAGUGCACCAGUUGUCGUGCCAACGGCAUAGCUGGAUAGCUACGUUCGGACGGGAUAAACGCUGAAAGCAUAUAAGCGUGAAACCCACCUCGAGAUUAUAUAUCCCCACCCGCAAGGGUGCUAAAGACCCCUGGAAGACCACCAGGUGAUAGGCUGGGUGUGGAAGCGCAGUAAUGCGUGAAGCUUACCAGUACUAAUCGGUCGUGAGGCUUGACCA